GAUGAAGAACGCAGUGAAAUGCGAUAAGUAGUGUGAAUUGCAGAAUUCAGUGAAUCAUCGAAUCUUUGAACGCACAUGGCGCCUUCCAGUAUCCUGGGAGGCAUGCCUGUCCGAGCGUCGUUUCAACCCUCGAGCCCCCGUGGCCCGGCGUUGGGGAUCUGCCCAGGCAGUCCCCGAAAACCAGUGGCGGACCCGUUACAGGCCCUUCCCUUGCGUAGUAGCAUUCGCCUCGCAUCGGGAGCCGGCGGGCUUCCAGCCUCUAAACCCCCAUCAAGUCCGCCCCGGCGGCACCAAGGUUGACCUCGGAUCAGGUAGGAAUACCCGCUGAACUUAAGCAUAUCAAUAAGCGGAGGA
rnacentral:misc_RNA from 1 species